GAUGAACGCUGGCGGCGUGCCUAAUACAUGCAAGUCGAGCGAACAGACGAGGAGCUUGUUCUUCUGACGUUAGCCGCGGACGUGAGAGAAACACGUGGAUACUCCCCCUAUAAGACUGGGAUCACUUCGGGAAACCGGCGCUAAUACCGUAUAAUAUCUUGAUCCGUAUGGUUUGAUAGAGAAUUUCGGUUUUGCUGUCACGUAUAGAUGGUUCCGCGCUGGAUUGGCUAGUUGGUAAGGUAACGGCUUACCAAGGCAACGAUGCGUAGCCGAUCUGAGAGGGUGAUCGGCCACACUGGAAGUGGAACGCGGUCCAGACUCCUACGGGAGGCAGCAGUAGGGAAUCUUCGGCAAUGGGGGAAAGCCUGACGGAGCAACGCCGCGUGAGUGAUGAAGGUCUUCGGAUCGUAAAACUCUGUUAUUAGGGAAGAACAAAUGUGUAAGUAACUAUGCACGUCUUGACGGUACCUAAUCAGAAAGCCACGGCUAACUACGUG
rnacentral:rRNA from 1 species